GCAACGAGCUCAGUCGGUUAGAGCGUGGGUCUAAUAAGCCCAAGGUCGCAGGUUCGACCCCUGCUGGCGGCA
rnacentral:tRNA from 1 species